rnacentral:misc_RNA from 1 species
GUGAAUCAUCGAAUCUUUGAACGCAAAUUGCACUCUCCGGUUUUCCGGGAGAGGAGGCCUGUUUGAGGGUGAGGCUAAAUAAAAUCGGCUUAGUAGUUUGCUGUGUUUUUCACGGUAACGGUGGGCGGAAUUUGGGUCAUCUUAAACCGAAAGGUUGUGAAGCGACUGAAAAUUUUCUGACGAUCUCGCGAACGUUGCGAAGAUUUU